rnacentral:lncRNA from 1 species
UAAAUAAUAAUUGAGGGUAUUUUAGAGAUUUAGAAAAUUUACGGGUGCCCAAAAAAUUAUUGGAUGCACUUAAAAAUUGUUAAAACAAUACCAACAAUGGAUUUGUCUAAGUAGUUAAGGAUUUGAGCUUCUUAAGCAUGUGAUCAGAGGUUCGAUUUAUGAUUCAUGCGUAUAAAACAAAAAUUGGUUGGAAGGGGAUGACCCACCUUGUUCGCCACACAAGUUUUUCGAUGGAGAUUAAUUGUUAUGAAGCGGCGGUUGAAACUUACUACCAAUACAAUAUCGUAGUAACAAAAAAAAUGUCAAAAUAAUGUCUCAAUUGUUGGAUUCAAUCAAAAACUCAAGAUUGGGCUACAAAACUAUAGUGCUGCACAAGAUCCAAGCUACUUAUUGAGUUGUGCAACCAAAAAAUAAGUCAGAUAAGAAUUACUAUAUGGCCCUCAAUUUUGCUCAAAAGUCCUUCGAUUUAUUGGAUCAUAACUUUUGAUUGUAUAAUAUUUUCUAUUGGAAGAUACGAUCCGAUCAUCUUUUUUAUUCAUCGGAUGCUAUCUUAUGAUUAGCUUAUUUCAAAUGUUGAGUAAUCCAAU